rnacentral:rRNA from 1 species
CCUACGGGUGGCAGCAGUAGGGAAUAUUGCUCAAUGGGGGAAACCCUGACGCAGCAACGCCGCGUGGAGGAUGAAGGUUUUCGGAUUGUAAACUCCUUUUGUUAGAGAAGAUAAUGACGGUAUCUAACGAAUAAGAACCGGCUAACUCCGUGCCAGCCUCCGCGGUAAGACGGCGGGUGCUAGCGUUACUCGGCAUCCCUUGUCGUAAAGAGCGCGUAGGCGGGCUAGCAGGUCAGCUGUGAACUCCUAUGGCAUACCCCUAGAACUGCAUUUGAAACUGUUAUUCUAGAGUCUGGGAGAGGUAGGUGGAAUUCUUGGUGUAGGGGUAAAAUCCGUAGAGAUCAAGAGGAAUACUCGUUGCGAAGGCGACCUGCUAGAACAUAACUGACGCUGAUGCGCGAAAGCGUGGGGAGCAAACAGGAUUAGAUACCCCAGUAGUC